UACCCUAACCUUUGCCAUGAUCUGACUGGA
rnacentral:piRNA from 1 species